GAGAGCGGAUAUCGAGAAUGAGGGACAUGGUAGACCAACGCCAGUGACACAACCGACCGGAAAGACACGACUGCCUGCUCCGGAUGCAUUUGUACCGCCACGAAAUGACUCGAUUGUUGCUAUUCCCGGAAGACCGAAGCCGGGGCCAAGAAAUGACUCGAUUGUUGCCAUUCCCGGAAGACCGAAGCCGGGGGUAAG